rnacentral:rRNA from 1 species
UACGUAGGGGGCAAGCGUUGUCCGGAUUUAUUGGGCGUAAAGAGCGUGUAGGCGGCCGUACAGGUCAGCUGUGAAAACUCGAGGCUCAACCUCGAGACGUCGGUUGAAACCGUACGGCUAGAGUCCGGAAGAGGAGAGUGGAAUUCCCGGUGUAGCGGUGAAAUGCGCAGAUAUCGGGAGGAACACCGGUGGCGAAGGCGGAUCUCUGGGCCAUUACUGACGCUGAGGAGCGAAAGCGUGGGGAGCGAACAGG